rnacentral:rRNA from 1 species
AAGUUCUACCUUAGCCCCUCCCCAACAAGCAAACAAACCCAAUCCCCAUGCAGCGAGCUAAGAGCUAUUUAAAGGAGGUACAGCCCCUUUAAUAAGGACACAACCCCCACCAGCGGAUAACCACCAACCCACCAACUCAAGUAGGCUUUAAAGCAGCCACCACCAAAGAAAGCGUCAAAGCCCRCAACAAAAAAAUCCCAAAAACAAUGCGACUCCCUAAACCAUAGUGAGCCAACCUAUUAACAUAGAUGAAUUUAUGCUAAAACGAGUAACCAGGACACUCGUCCCCUUAAGCGCCAACCUGACAGCCCAUUAACAGUAUAACUACAAUCUUUUCCCUAAACAACAUUGAAUACACCCUGUCAACCCAACCCAGGAGCGCACACUAGGAUGAUUAAAAUCUGCAAAAGGAACUCGGCAAACCCAAGGCCCGACUGUUUACCAAAAACAUAGCCUUCAGCCAAACAAGUAUUGAAGGUGAUGCCUGCCCAGUGAUAUUAAAUUCAACGGCCGCGGUAUCCUAACCGUGCAAAGGUAGCGCAAUCAAUUGUCCCAUAAAUCGAGACCUGUAUGAAUGGCUAAACGAGGUCUUAACUGUCUCCUGCAGACAAUCAAUGAAACUGAUCUCUUUGUGCAAAAGCAAAGAUACUUACAUAAGACAAGAAGACCCUGCGGAACUUCAAAAUCAUUAACCACAGCACCCAAAACUCAAAACCUCUACC